UUUAUGGAGAGUUUGAUCCUGGCUCAGGAUGAACGCUGGCGGCGUGCCUAAUACAUGCAAGUCGAGCGAACGGACGAGAAGCUUGCUUUUCUGAUGUUAGCGGCGGACGGGUGAGUAACACGUGGAUAACCUACCUAUAAGACUGGGAUAACUUCGGGAAACCGGAGCUAAUACCGGAUAAUAUUUUGAACCGCAUGGUUCAAAAGUGAAAGACGGUCUUGCUGUCACUUAUAGAUGGAUCCGCGCUGCAUUAGCUAGUUGGUAAGGUAACGGCUUACCAAGGCAACGAUGCAUAGCCGACCUGAGAGGGUGAUCGGCCACACUGGAACUGAGACACGGUCCAGACUCCUACGGGAGGCAGCAGUAGGGAAUCUUCCGCAAUGGGCGAAAGCCUGACGGAGCAACGCCGC
rnacentral:rRNA from 1 species